rnacentral:rRNA from 1 species
GUGGGGAAUCUUGCGCAAUGGGCGAAAGCCUGACGCAGCCAUGCCGCGUGGAUGAUGAAGGUCUUAGGAUUGUAAAAUCCUUUCACCGGUGAAGAUAAUGACUGUAGCCGGAGAAGAAGCCCCGGCUAACUUCGUGCCAGCAGCCGCGGUAAUACGAAGGGGGCUAGCGUUGCUCGGAUUUACUGGGCGUAAAGGGCGCGUAGGCGGACAUUUAAGUCAGGGGUGAAAUCCCGGGGCUCAACCUCGGAACUGCCUUGGAUACUGGGUGUCUUGAGGAUGAGAGAGGUGUGUGGAACUCCGAGUGUAGAGGUGAAAUUCGUAGAUAUUCGGAAGAACACCAGUGGCGAAGGCGACACACUGGCUCAUUACUGACGCUGAGGCGCGAAAGCGUGGGGAGCAAACAGGAUUAGAAACCCCGGUAGUCC